rnacentral:rRNA from 1 species
UACGUAGGGUGCGAGCGUUGUCCGGAAUUAUUGGGCGUAAAGAGCUCGUAGGCGGCUUGUCGCGUCGGAUGUGAAAGCCCGGGGCUUAACUCCGGGUCUGCAUUCGAUACGGGCAGGCUAGAGUUCGGUAGGGGAGAUCGGAAUUCCUGGUGUAGCGGUGAAAUGCGCGGAUAUCAGGAGGAACACCGGUGGCGAAGGCGGAUCUCUGGGCCGAUACUGACGCUGAGGAGCGAAAGCAUGGGGAGCGAACAGG